AUUGAACGCUAGCGGCAGGCCUAACACAUGCAAGUCGAACGAGCGGCGGACGGGUGCGUAAUGUAUGUGUAACUGCCCGAUGGAGGGGGAUAACUACUGGAAAAGGUAUCCAAUACCGCGUACCAUUGGAUGUGCCCAGAUGGGAUUAGCUAGUAGGUUGGGUAACUGCUCACCUAGGCGACGAUCCCUAGCUGGUCUGAGCGGAUGACCAGCCACACUGGAACUGAGACACGGUCCAGACUCCUACGGGAGGCAGCAGUGGGGAAUAUUGCACAAUGGGCGCAAGCCUGAUGCAGCCAUGCCGCGUGUAUGAAGAAGGCCUUCGGGUUGUAAAGUACUUUCAGCGAGGAGGCGUUACUCGCAGAAGAAGCACCGGCUAACUCCGUGCCAGCAGCCGCGGUAAUAC
rnacentral:rRNA from 1 species